rnacentral:rRNA from 1 species
AAACCAACAGGGAUUGCCUCAGUAGCGGCGAGUGAAGCGGCAAGAGCUCAGAUUUGAAAUCUCACCUAGUGUGCGAGUUGUAAAUUGCAGGUUGGAGUCUCGGGUUAGACGUGUGUGCAAGUCCCUUGGAACAGGGCGCCACUGAGGGUGAGAGCCCCGUAGCGUGCAUGUCGACACCUGUGAGGCCCUUCUGACGAGUCGAGUUGUUUGGGAAUGCAGCUCUAAGUGGGUGGUAAAUUCCAUCUAAGGCUAAAUAUUGGCGAGAGACCGAUAGCGAACAAGUACUGUGAAGGAAAGAUGAAAAGCACUUUGAAAAGAGAGUGAAACAGCACGUGAAAUUGUUGAAAGGGAAGGGUAUUGGGCUCGACAUGGGAUUUACGCAUCGUUGCCUCUCGUGGGCGGCGCUCUGGGUUUUUCCUGGGCCAGCAUCGGUUUUCGUUGCAGGAUAAGGACAAUUGGAAUGUGGCUCCUCGGAGUGUUAUAGCCUUUUGUAGAUGCUGCGUAUGGGGACCGAGGGCUGCGGCGGACUCGUUUCGUCUCGGAUGCUGGCACAACGGCGCAAUACCGC